rnacentral:rRNA from 1 species
UCCAGACUCCUACGGGAGGCAGCAGUGAGGAAUAUUGGUCAAUGGGCGCGAGCCUGAACCAGCCAAGUCGCGUGAGGGAUGACGGCCCUACGGGUUGUAAACCUCUUUUGUCGGGGAGCAAAUUCCGUUACGUGUAACGGAGUCGAGAGUACCCGAAGAAAAAGCAUCGGCUAACUCCGUGCCAGCAGCCGCGGUAAUACGGAGGAUGCGAGCGUUAUCCGGAUUUAUUGGGUUUAAAGGGUGCGUAGGCGGGCUGUUAGGUCAGCGGUAAAAUGUCGGGGCUCAACCCCGGCCUGCCGUUGAAACUGGCGGCCUCGAGUGGGCGAGAAGUAUGCGGAAUGCGUGGUGUAGCGGUGAAAUGCAUAGAUAUCACGCAGAACUCCGAUUGCGAAGGCAGCAUACCGGCGCCCAACUGACGCUGAAGCACGAAAGCGUGGGUAUCGAACAGGAUUAGAUACCCCAGUA